ensembl:lncRNA
GCGAGCGCAGGGGUCAGGGGUGUGUCUUCCUGCUCCGCGUGGAGCAGGGGAAAAAGAGCAUGCCUGUUUGGCAUGAUAAGAAUUUUGUUUAUACUUUAACCAAAAUUGCCUGGAAAACGCUUAGCCCGGGGAGCCCCCAAUUUGAAAAUGGAUUGUCCGUGCCCUUCCACACCCAUUGCCAUUAUGAAAGCAAUUCAUUCUAAUGUCCUUGUAAAAAACACUCGCAACUGUAUACAAAGUGUCAGGAGGGAAAAUGACCGCGGACACACCAGCUACGACUCAGUGACAACCACUGCUAACAUUUUGGUGACAUCAGUAAGUGUGUGUGUGUGUCACUCUUAGAGGUUUUGUAGUAGAGCAUCGAGUACCAUAAUUUAUCCAAACCCUGAUGAGUAUUUGAUUGUCUCUGUCACUUGUGGCAAAACGGAUUUAUUUGAUUAUUGUCUUAGGCUAAAUUUACAAAUGGAGGUCAAAGGUAACAUUCCAUUUUUUUCUCCUUGUGGAUAUGCUUGGAAAUCUGUUUGUUUCUUGUAAUACCUUUAACAUUUUUAACCUUUUUUGUUUUUAUUUGUUUAUUUACUCAUAUUUAUUUUGAACUAGAAUCUCACUGUGUAGACCAGAUUGACCUUAAGCUCACAGAGAUCUCUCUACUUCAGUUUCUCAAGUGCUGGGAUUAAAGACGUAGGCCGGUAGGCCUUGCCUUUAUGUUUGUUUUUAUUUUUAAGGCAUAUUCCCAAGUGCCAGGAUAAUCAUCCAGAUUUGGGGACCUCCAGGCCCUGAACCCUGUCUCCUAUAGAUGCCAGGGAUCACUCAACUCACCUAAUCCUCUGGUAGGUGUUUGUGAGCCCUUUGAAGAGGAAACAAAGGAAUGCUAAAUGUUGAGUAGGCCCUGUUCAAACACUUAACUAGUUUUAGGUUCAUUAGUUGGUCUGAAGUCAGUUAAUUUGUUGCAUUAUCUUUGUUAGAAUUUGAAGAAUUUUUCUUCUUUUUAUUUUUUUCUUUUGAGAAGGAUUUCCUGUAAUUCAGGUUGGCCUGAAAUACACUAAGUUAAC